GUCUGCAGCCAUAUCACCCUGCAACUCACUGAAGCUCAGCAGGUGUUAGCCUGGUCAGUACCUGUAUGGGAGACCACCUGGGAAAACUAAGGCUGCUGCUGGAA
rnacentral:rRNA from 1 species